AGAAGAAGAAGAAGAAGAAGAAGUGGCCAUAUGAAAUUGAAACCUAUAUUAUUGAAACUAGUGUUUGAAAAUUACCAACUUGAAUUCAGCCUUCAUUCCAUUUUAGUUGAAAUUAUCGUAUAGGUCUUUUCCAUCCAUUCUAUUUUGUUGAGGGUUACAUUUCCAGUAGGAUCUAGGGAUGUUAAAUCCUUCUUGACCACUAAUUACAUUCAUCUAGUAUCAUCCUUUGACUAUCUCUCAUUUUAUCCACAUGGAGUUCUUAACUCAUUUAACUUUGUUGCUUGUUCUUACAUACUGAUGCAUCCUCCAGUCUACUAUGACCAUGACCAAACCAUCUUAAACAAAUCUUUCUCAAUUUAUCCUAGAUGGCUAUCAGUUCCAUCUUCCUACUAAUGCACUCAUUUUUCAUAUGGUCCUCUCUUGCAUAUCCACACAUCCAUCUUAACAUCAUAUCUGCCAUGCUCAUUUUGCGGACAUUAGUAUAUGACAUAGCAGAUCAAAUUGCAGUCAAUAGAACUCCCCCUUCUAGUGUUAUCACAGCUGCAGGAAAUCAGGAAUUACUACCUCAGUCAGUUAAAACAGGCCAUAUUUUAUUUCUCUUCUGGAAGUAGCAACGGCAUGUUUGGGACCUCUUUGUAAUAGGACUAGAAAAGAAUU
rnacentral:misc_RNA from 1 species